rnacentral:rRNA from 1 species
AGUGAACGCUGGCGGUAGGCCUAACACAUGCAAGUCGAACGGCAGCACAGUAAGAGCUUGCUCUUACGGGUGGCGAGUGGCGGACGGGUGAGGAAUACAUCGGAAUCUACUUUUUCGUGGGGGAUAACGUAGGGAAACUUACGCUAAUACCGCAUACGACCUACGGGUGAAAGCAGGGGAUCUUCGGACCUUGCGCGAUUGAAUGAGCCGAUGUUGGAUUAGCUAGUUGGCGGGGUAAGGGCCCACCAAGGCGACGAUCCGUAGCUGGUCUGAGAGGAUGAUCAGCCACACUGGAACUGAGACACGGUCCAGACUCCUACGGGAGGCAGCAGUGGGGAAUAUUGGACAAUGGGCGCAAGCCUGAUCCAGCCAUACCGCGUGGGUGAAGAAGGCCUUCGGGUUGUAAAGCCCUUUUGUUGGGAAAGAAAAGCAGCAGGUUAAUACCCCGCUGUUCUGACGGUACCCAAAGAAUAAGCACCGGCUAACUUCGUG